rnacentral:pre_miRNA from 1 species
UUUUAAGUAUAAGGAUGUCCCAUGCAAAAUUUGGGACAUACAUAUAUUAAAA